GCCUGGGUGGCUCAGUCGGUCGAGCAUCUGACUUCGGCUUAGCUCAUGAUCUCGCAGUUCGUGAGUUCAAGCCCCAUGUCAGGCU
rnacentral:tRNA from 1 species